rnacentral:rRNA from 1 species
UACGGAGGGUGCGAGCGUUGUCCGGAUUUAUUGGGCGUAAAGGGCGCGUAGGCGGGCUGAUAAGUCAGGGGUGAAAUCCCAAGGCUCAACCUUGGAACUGCCUUUGAUACUGUCGGCCUUGAGUCCGGGAGAGGUGAGUGGAACUGCGAGUGUAGAGGUGAAAUUCGUAGAUAUUCGGAGGAACACCAGUGGCGAAGGCGGCCCACUGGCUCGACACUGACGCUGAGGCGCGAAAGCGUGGGGAGCAAACAGG